rnacentral:rRNA from 1 species
UACGAAGGGGGGCUAGCGUUGCUCGGAAUCACUGGGCGUAAAGCGCACGUAGGCGGCUUCUUAAGUCAGGGGUGAAAUCCUGGAGCUCAACUCCAGAACUGCCUUUGAUACUGAGGAGCUUGAGUCCGGGAGAGGUGAGUGGAACUGCGAGUGUAGAGGUGAAAUUCGUAGAUAUUCGCAAGAACACCAGUGGCGAAGGCGGCUCACUGGCCCGGUACUGACGCUGAGACGCGAAAGCGUGGGGAGCGAACAGG